GACGAACGCUGGCGGCGUGCUUAACACAUGCCAGUCGAACGGAAAGGCCCUGCUUUUGUGGGGUGCUCGAGUGGCGAACGGGUGAGUAACACGUGAGUAACCUGCCCUUGACUUUGGGAUAACUUCAGGAAACUGGGGCUAAUACCGGAUAGGAGCUCCUGCUGCAUGGUGGGGGUUGGAAAGUUUCGGCGGUUGGGGAUGGACUCGCGGCUUAUCAGCUUGUUGGUGGGGUAGUGGCUUACCAAGGCUUUGACGGGUAGCCGGCCUGAGAGGGUGACCGGCCACAUUGGGACUGAGAUACGGCCCAGACUCCUUCGGGAGGCAGCAGUGGGGAAUAUUGCACAAUGGGCGGAAGCCUGAUGCAGCAACGCCGCGUGCGGGAUGACGGCCUUCGGGUUGUAAACCGCUUUCGCCUGUGACGAAGCGUGAGUGACGGUAAUGGGUAAAGAAGCACCGGCUAACUACGUG
rnacentral:rRNA from 1 species